CAGGGAGCAGGGCAGGACGAGGGGCGCCCCCUGGUCCGCCGUGGAAGCCCGAGGCGCGGGUGCAGGAUCUGCGCUGGAAGCCACCUUACUUCCUAGGCGGUACCUGAGGUGACGGGCAGGAUCUUCUGUGAUGAAAUUACCCACACGAGUCACCACGGGAUGACGGUGAGCAGGUGCCAUGGACGGUUCUCGGAGAACUGUAAGUUCAACAGAGGAAAAUGGCUCAUUUGAAAAAAAUGUCCAUGUGUUGCCUGCUCUGGUGAGA